CUACGGGCGGCAGCAGUGAGGAAUAUUGCACAAUGGGGGGAACCCUGAUGCAGCAACGCCGCGUGGAGGAUGACGCAUUUCGGUGUGUAAACUCCUUUUAUAUGUCAAGAAAAUGACGGUAGCAUAUGAAUAAGCACCGGCUAACUCCGUGCCAGCAGCCGCGGUAAUACGGAGGGUGCAAGCGUUACUCGGAAUCACCGGGCGUAAAGGACGCGUAGGCGGGUUGGAAAGUCAGGUGUGAAAUCCUACAGCUUAACUGUAGAACUGCACUUGAAACUUCUAAUCUAGAGUAUGGGAGGGGGAGAUGGAAUUAGUGGUGUAGGGGUAAAAUCCGUAGAUAUCACUAGGAAUACCUAAAGCGAAGGCGAUCUCCUGGAACAUUACUGACACUAAGGCGUGAAAGCGUGGGGAGCAAACAGGAUUAGAUACCCUCGUAGUC
rnacentral:rRNA from 1 species